rnacentral:rRNA from 1 species
GAUGAACGCUGGCGGCGUGCCUAAUACAUGCAAGUCGAGCGAACAGACGAGGAGCUUGCUCCUCUGACGUUAGCGGCGGACGGGUGAGUAACACGUGGAUAACCUACCUAUAAGACUGGGAUAACUUCGGGAAACCGGAGCUAAUACCGGAUAAUAUAUUGAACCGCAUGGUUCAAUAGUGAAAGACGGUUUUGCUGUCACUUAUAGAUGGAUCCGCGCCGCAUUAGCUAGUUGGUAAGGUAACGGCUUACCAAGGCAACGAUGCGUAGCCGAACUGAGAGGGUGAUCGGCCACACGGGAACUGAGACACGGUCCAGACUCCUACGGGAGGCAGCAGUAGGGAAUCUUCCGCAAAGGGCGAAAGCCUGACGGAGCAACGCCGCGUGAGUGAUGAAGGUCUUCGGAUCGUAAAACUCUGUUAUUAGGGAAGAACAAAUGUGUAAGUAACUAUGCACGUCUUGACGGUACCUAAUCAGAAAGCCACGGCUAACUACGUG